UUUUCGUACCACGGCGAGGCCGGAUUCCUGUUUUAUCAUGAAUAUUCAUUAGGCAGGGUCGGGGAAAGUCUCGAUUCUCUUAAAUAUUCAUAUCGAGGUGGGAAUGCACGACGCGCGCUAUACUCGCACAAAGUGAGAAGAUUUAGUUCACGGAGAAUGCAUAUGGAUUGAAACUGAAGAGCUGGAAGGAGGACAUUACAACAUCUCUUAUAUUUGCAAGAUAAAGCAGAAAGUCCCAUGCAGGAUGAUGCCUCUCUACAGUGGAUGAUGAAGGCAUUCUGGUUUGCAAACUCAGGAGAGGAACAAAGAACAGAUGUUGACGGGAUCAUAUCUAGAGAUGCGGGCCUACUACACUUCAUACGAGCAAGUGUGCUAAUAUACAUGAAGACUUGGGUUAUAUUUUUUUCUGAAAACUAGGCUACAACUUUAGUGAUGGAUGCAGAAGAUAUCUACACGAGACUACGUCUUAAAGAUGCCACCCUCAUAUAAUGAAAGAGGACAAUAGAGAUGGGUUUAAACUGGAAUAUUUACAUGAUAUUUAUUUGUUAUUUGUAUUAUA